rnacentral:misc_RNA from 1 species
CUGAGUUCAUGCCCUUACGGGUAGAUCUCCACCCUUGAAUAUAAACUCUUGUUGCUUUGGCGGGCCGCUUCGGCUACUGGCUUCGGCUGGUGAGUGCCCGCCAGAGAACCCUAAACCUUGAAUUAUAGUGUCGUCUGAGUACUAUAUAAUAGUUA